UCGGGAAUAUUGCGGCAAUGGAGGAAACUCUGACGCAGUGACGCCGCGUGCAGGAAGAAGGUUUUCGGAUUGUAAACUGCUUUAGACAGGGAAGAAAAAAGACAGUACCUGUAGAAUAAGCUCCGGCUAACUACGUGCCAGCAGCCGCGGUAAUACGUGGGGAGCGAGCGUUAUCCGGAUUUAUUGGGUGUAAAGGGUGCGUAGACGGGAAGAUAAGUUAGUUGUGAAAUCCCUCGGCUUAACUGAGGAACUGCAACUAAAACUGUUUUUCUUGAGUACUGGAGAGGAAAGUGGAAUUCCUAGUGUAGCGGUGAAAUGCGUAGAUAUUAGGAGGAACACCAGUGGCGAAGGCGGUCUCCUGGGCAAAUACUGACGCUCAUAUGCGAAAAGCGUGGGUAGCAAACAGGAUUAGAUACCCUGGUAGU
rnacentral:rRNA from 1 species